rnacentral:rRNA from 1 species
CGGAACGGGUGAGUAAUAUAUCGGACGUACCAGAAGUGGGGAGUAACGUAGCGAAGUUACGCUAAUACCGCAUACGAUCUACGGAUGAAAGUGGGGGACCUUCGGGCCUCAUGCUUUUGGAGCGGCCGAUAUCUGAUUAGCUAGUUGGUGAGGUAAAGGCUCACCAAGGCGACGAUCAGUAGCUGGUCUGAGAGGACGACCAGCCACACUGGGACUGAGACACGGCCCAG